rnacentral:rRNA from 2 species
UACCAAGGCGACGACGGGUAGCCGGCCUGAGAGGGUGACCGGCCACACUGGGACUGAGACACGGCCCAGACUCCUACGGGAGGCAGCAGUGGGGAAUAUUGCACAAUGGGCGCAAGCCUGAUGCAGCGACGCCGCGUGAGGGAUGACGGCUUCGGGUUGUAAACCUCUUUCAGUAGGGAAGAAGCGAAAGUGACGGUACCUGCAGAAGAAGCGCCGGCUAACUACGUGCCAGCAGCCGCGGUAAUACGUAGGGCGCAAGCGUUAUCCGGAAUUAUUGGGCGUAAAGAGCUCGUAGGCGGUUUGUCGCGUCUGCUGUGAAAGACCGGGGCUCAACUCCGGUUCUGCAGUGGGUACGGGCAGACUAGAGUGAUGUAGGGGAGACUGGAAUUCCUGGUGUAGCGGUGAAAUGCGCAGAUAUCAGGAGGAACACCGAUGGCGAAGGCAUGUCUCUGGGCAUUAACUGACGCUGAGGAGCGAAAGCAUGGGGAGCGAACAGGAUUAGAUACCCUGGUAGUCCAUGCCGUAAACGUUGGGCACUAGGUGUGGGGGACAUUCCACGUUUUCCGCGCCGUAGCUAACGCAUUAAGUGCCCCGCCUGGGGAGUACGGCCGCAAGGCUAAAACUCAAAGGAAUUGACGGGGGCCCGCACAAGCGGCGGAGCAUGCGGAUUAAUUCGAUGCAACGCGAAGAACCUUACCAAGGCUUGACAUGGACCGGUAACACCUGGAGACAGGCGCCCCCGCUUGCGGCUGGUUCACAGGUGGUGCAUGGUUGUCGUCAGCUCGUGUCGUGAGAUGUUGGGUUAAGUCCCGCAACGAGCGCAACCCUCGUUCUAUGUUGCCAGCGCGUGAUGGCGGGGACUCAUAGGAGACUGCCGGGGUCAACUCGGAGGAAGGUGGGGACGACGUCAAAUCAUCAUGCCCCUUAUGUCUUGGGCUUCACGCAUGCUACAAUGGCCGGUACAAAGGGUUGCGAUACUGUGAGGUGGAGCUAAUCCCAAAAAGCCGGUCUCAGUUCGGAUUGGGGUCUGCAACUCGACCCCAUGAAGUCGGAGUCGCUAGUAAUCGCAGAUCAGCAACGCUGCGGUGAAUACGUUCCCGGGCCUUGUACACACCGCCCGUCAAGUCACGAAAGUUGGUAACACCCGAAGCCGGUGGCCUAACCCCUUUGUGGAGGAGCCGUCGAAGGUG